rnacentral:lncRNA from 10 species
GGGAGGCAGAGAUUGUGGUGAGCCAAAAUCUUGCCGUUGCAUUCCACCCUGGGCAACAAGAGCAAAACUUCAUCUCAAAACAAAAAAAAAACAAAACAAAACAAAACAAAAAAACCAAUUCUCACUUAGAGCCUUUAGAAAGGAACAGAGCUCUACUGACUCCUUCAUUUCUGCUUGGUGAGAAAUUCAUCUGACUUUUGCCCUAGAGAACUGAAGGUAUUAGAGACAGACUUGUAACUCCUUCAGCUCCUGCGGUAUCUUCAGCUUCAUCUUCUCUGACUGUUGGGCCAGGUGUGUGUUUAGCUUCCCGAUGAAGGACAUUGACUUCUCUUGCACUUCAUCUGCAUCAUCCAAGUUGAAGGUUUAGAGGUCGCGGGAAACUGAUGUGGAUUUCUGCUUAUCUUUGGGAAUUCUGGUUAUCCCUUUUCUCCACCAUUUUGCAGGCAUCUUUCCUUCCUUACUGCCUGUCCUGCUGUCUUCAGAGUAAACACAAGACUCAGAAGUAAUGGGAAAAUAUAGAUUUCUUUACCACUUCCUACAAUAGCAUAUAAUCAAAUAAUGCCUAUAAUAAAUGCUUUAUUCUAUAUUACUUGUAGUGGUUCUGUUGCAAUUGUGAUACAUGUCUGGUUUCAUAAUGUUUCCAGAUAGUCUCUUACAUCUUAUCAGCCUGAACAAUAUUAUUGCCUGCAUAGAUUCCCCACAUGGCAAAUCUACAUGCAGUUGUCCCAGAAAAUAAAAGCUGUCCCAGACAGCCUUUCCAACUUUUAUCUUCUGACAAUAUUAUCUCACAACAACAGAUUACACCUUAGCUACUCCCUUAAAUCACAUUUUGCCCCUCCCAUCUUCUUCACAUCAGUGUUAUGCUUUAUUGUGCUCGGUGAUAUAAUUUGGAAUUUGUAGCUAUAGACAACAUUUCUGUCUUUGCCAAGCAGUUAAUUAAGGUGUUACUAUAACCUCACUGCAAAUGUAAUCUAAAGGAUUAAAGUAUGACUCAAACUUACCUAUCUCAAGAUAGUCAGAUAAGCUAUAUUUUGGGAAACUAACAUUGAAUGAGCUUCUACAUUAUGCUUAUCACAUCCUCUCAUUUACUACUAAAAACCUUGCAUGAUUAAUAUAGUUUUGCCUAUUUCACAAAUGAAAAAACUGAGGCACAGAGAUGUUACUAUGAAAACAAUGACUCUAAUGUACGUAACUGUGAAUGGACUUGAUUUGGUUUCUUCCUGUAGAAAGCAUGUCAAUGGGCUCUCCCAUAUACUUUUUCGAUUUCUCUCCCCUGCUCAUCACACAUUUUAACUCUGUCCCUGACUAUACAUUGGCCUUAUUCUCAUCAGCUGCAGAUGUGGUUUUCCCACAAGACUGUGGAGUUUCUGGCAACAACUAGGCUUCAUAUGUUCCCAGUUGAACAACUCCAAUAGAAAAAUAACUUUCUUCUGAAAGUCUUCCAGGGGAG